rnacentral:rRNA from 1 species
UGGGGAAUUUUCCGCAAUGGCCGCAAGGCUGACGCAGCGACGCCGCGUGUGGGAGGACGCCCUUCGGGGUGUAAACCACUGUCAGGGGGGAAGAACUCCGCAGGUGCGAAUAGCGCUUGCGGGUGACGGUACCCCCAGAGGAAGCGCCGGCUAACUCCGUGCCAGCAGCCGCGGUAAGACGGAGGGCGCGAGCGUUGUUCGGAAUUACUGGGCGUAAAGGGCGGGCAGGCGGUUUGUUAAGUCUUUUGUGAAAAUCCGGGGCUCAACCCCGGGAAAUGCAGGAGAUACUGGCAGACUCGAGACCGGUAGAGGCUAGCGGAAUUCCUGGUGUAGCGGUGGAAUGCGUAGAUAUCAGGAAGAACACCUGUGGCGAAGGCGGCUAGCUGGGCCGGUUCUGACGCUGAUCCGCGAAAGCGUGGGGAGCAAACAGGAUUAGAUACCCGUGUAGUCC